CCUUCUUGCUGUGUCAUGCCAUGGUGAUAAUAAAAUAAUACUUUAUAAAAAUGAAUUUGGUAGCCACAGGUAUGAUGGUUUGGGGAAGAUGAUGGAAGGGUGAUUACAAAGUUAUUGCCUUGGCUCUGGCAAUAAGAAUUGAGAACUUCAACUAGGACAAGGGCAAUGGGAAUGGAGAGAUGGGGAUGGACAGAAUGCAUGCUGUAAUGUAGCCUCAGGAUAAAGAAGUUGAAUGAGUUUGGCAUGCAGCAAUGAAGAGGAAGAAGUAAAAGGUGAACCCAACGGUACAAGCCUGGGCAACUACAAGAAUGGUGAUCCCAUCACAGAAACCAGAAAUGCGGGAGGAGUGGGUUUUGGAGUUGAGACAAUGAAAAGAAAUGUUAUAGAUACUAUAGAUAGACUAUUACUAAUAUUUUAGAUAAGUUAAACAAACAAAAAAAGUUCAGUGAAGUUUUGAACACAAAAUCCUGAAGACAAGAGGUUUCAAAUGUUGUAGUGAGUUGUGAAGGAUAAGUUAGAAGGAAAUGCCUACCUAGCCACACUGGAAAGGAAGUUUGGUUUCCAAAUCAUCUCAAUCCAUCGGCUCAAGCAGGAAUAUUUAGAAGAAGGAGCACAAGAAAGAGGACACCCUUAACAGAAAAGUUAUUCAUUUCCAAUUUAAGACUCAUCAAGGGAUAAAAUCUGAAAACUUAUAAAGGAUACUUAUUACAGAAAAAAUUUAAGGGGAAACUGGUGCUGUGGAGAGACCCAUGUGGAAAGGAACUGAGGACUCCCGGCAAAAGUCACCAAGGACCGAGGUUGCUGACAGCUGCAUGUGAACUCGGAAGCAGAUCAAUCCUUGCCCAAGCCCACACUUUGUCUACAGCCUUGGUGAGAGACCCUGAGCCAGGGAUGCACAUCCAAGCUGCACCCAAACUCUUGACCCACAGAAACUGUGAGAUGAUGAAUGUGUUUAAGCCCCCAUAUUGUGGAGUCAUUUAUUACACAGCAAUAGAUGGCUAAGAUGAGCACUAUUUUUAUCCCCUUGUGAGUUCAUGGCUUGGUCUCCCUACCUCCCACUGACUAAAUGUGGCUAAAGCAAAAUCCAAUAACCAGCUGUCUCUGAACAAUAUUAACUGAAUGCCUACUGUUUACUAGCAUGACAGGAAUUCAAAAGAGUUUAUGAGGGAAAUGGCCACAGUGAGGCAGAGGAUUUACAUGCUGGGAAGGCUUCAUCCUGGCAAAUUACCCAGGGCAGACCUUCCCUCCUUCACUGUCUAAAAUAUCCAACUCUUAUAGUUUCAAAUCCCCAUCUCUUAUUGUCUGUCUUAUAGAAACCACCCU
rnacentral:lncRNA from 1 species